GAAAAGAAAAGAAGAAAGGAGAAAAGACUAGAAGAGGAAGGGAAUUUAUUUUUCCCAUUCAUUUUCUUCUCCUUCCCGUAAACAUGCAUAAACCCCUCUUCCUCCAUCUUUUCUUUCUACCCCAAAAUUGUUUCAAAUUUCCAUCUCUAAUCAACUCUCCAUCUUCUCCCAACACAUUUUCAAAGUAGAAUUUGAAGAAAAGAAGAGAAAUCAAAGAGAAAAUUCAAGAUUGAGGGAGGGUGAAUAGUAACCAAGGGUUUUGAAAUUUAAAGAAGAAGUGGAAGGGAAAAGUGAAAACUCUAAAGGAAAAGGGAAAGAAAAGGAAGAUUAAGAAGUUUUAAGCUUGUGGAAGAUUUUGGAAGGUUGUAGACCCAAGUAGCAAUAGAUCAAGUUCUGUAUCAACCCAGCCAGAGUUACAUCAUUAUUUAUCUAGGUAUAUUUUGUAAAUUUUAUAUAAAGUUGAUUUUGAAAAUUUGGC